UCCAGACUCCUACGGGAGGCAGCAGUGGGGAAUAUUGGGCAAUGGAGGAAACUCUUACCCAGCAAUGCCGCGUGAAUGAAGAAGGUCUUCGGAUUGUAAAGUUCUUUAAUUGGGGACGAAAAAAAUGACGGUACCCAAGGAAUAAGCCCCGGCUAACUACGUGCCAGCAGCCGCGGUAAUACGUAGGGGGCAAGCGUUAUCCGGAUUUACUGGGUGUAAAGGGAGCGUAGACGGCAUGGCAAGUCAGAUGUGAAAGCCCGGGGCUCAACCCCGGGACUGCAUUUGAAACUGUCAGGCUGGAGUGCAGGAGAGGUAAGUGGAAUUCCUAGUGUAGCGGUGAAAUGCGUAGAUAUUAGGAGGAACACCAGUGGCGAAGGCGGCUUACUGGACUGUAACUGACGUUGAGGCUCGAAAGCGUGGGGAGCAAACAGGAUUAGAUACCCCUGUA
rnacentral:rRNA from 1 species